CGGAGCGCCCGCGCACGCCGCGCAAGUCCGCGCGCUACUACGCCAGCGUCGCGCGAGCCAACUCGCUGGACGUGCCAGAGACUCAAGAUGUCAUGUUGAACGGAGCAUAUUCGUUUAUUUACCCCACUUGCACUCCAACGGUGGUCGUCGUGGUCGCAUGUUACCGCAUCUUUACCUUUUAAUAAAUUGUAUAGGUUGCAUUU